GAGGCUGACCGGUCGGACUAAGGGGCGAAAGGUGGUAGGAGAUUGGUCAAAACUGAGGAGUCUGGUUGUAAAAAAGGCAGCGUUAAAAGACAAUUAAUGACAUUAGAAAGAGUGUAAAUAAUUUUAAUGAACGAAUAUUAUAUAAGAAGAAAUAGAAGAUGCGGUCUUUAUGAGCAAUUAAUAUUAAUCGUUGGGCUUGAUGCUUAUAAAUACAAUCUUAAUGACCAGGUAAAGGACAUUUUUUCUAAUCAUAUACACUUUAACCUUCUUGUGACCUAGCUGCCUUGAGCAUCGGAAUAUUUCCCUACAACUCACAACCGUUCGACGUUAAGAAGGAAGUUUUCAGUAGGCGUUGGAAGAUCAGCGGAUUGAAGAGAAAUUUGGAGUGUCUUCAGUCUCGGAUCCCAUAACCGAAACAUAUGCAUACAUACAUACAUAGAUACAUACAUAUAUAUAUAUA
rnacentral:lncRNA from 1 species